CCGGUAGCUCAGCUGGUCAGAGCACUCGACUCAUAAUCGAGGGUGCGCGGGUUCGAUCCCCGCCCGGCC
rnacentral:tRNA from 1 species